UACGUAGGGGGCCAGCGUUGCUCGGAAUUACUGGGCGUAAAGGGUUCGUAGGCGGUGCGGUAAGUUGGGAGUGAAAUCUCUGGGCUUAACUCAGGGGCUGCUUUCAAAACUGCCGUGCUCUAGUGCGAGAGAGGCCAGUGGAAUUGCAGGUGUAGCGGUGAAAUGCGUAGAUAUCUGCAGGAACACCCGUGGCGAAAGCGGCUGGCUGGAUCGCAACUGACGCUGAGGAACGAAAGCUAGGGGAG
rnacentral:rRNA from 1 species